rnacentral:tRNA from 1 species
CGGGGUGUAGCUCAAUUGGCAGAGUGCACGCUUUGGGAGCGUGAGGUUCCGAGUUCAACUCUCGGCACCCCGA